AGAGACUUAGGCUAAACAGACCAAAAGCCUUCAAAGCUUUAAGUAGAGGUGAAAACCCCCUAGUCCCUG
rnacentral:tRNA from 1 species